rnacentral:siRNA from 1 species
CACAGAGAAGAUCGGUCUUG